AACCGUUUUUGCAAUACAACAUUCUCCAGAACUCUAAGGGAGGCAUGACAACGAUGUGAUUUUGGAGGAUGUCAUAAGUGCUGGUGGUGGCUGAUUCUUCAUUGAUUACCUACCUACCUACCUACCUACCUACCUACCUGUGAUGGCUGAUUGUCUGCAUUUAGAGGACAACUCAAGCGACACUGAGAACUGGGAAAGUAGUCUUCACAGACACUCAAGAGUCGUGGCUGAACGACAACAUGGAUAACAUACAGCUGGCUGGGUUUUCGGUGCAUCGGCAAGAUAGAACAGCUGUCUCCGGUAAGACAAAGGGUGGUGGUCUGUGUAUUUGUAAAUAUCUGCUGGUGCACAAAAUGUAAUAUUAUUAAGGAAGUCUCUAGGUUUUGCUCGCCUGAGGUAGAGUAUCUCAUGGUAAGCUGUAGACCACACUAUUUACCAAGAGAGUUUUCAUCUAUAUUUUUCGUAGCUGUCUAUUUACCACCGUAAACCGAUGCUGGCACUAAGACCGCACUCAAUGAGCUGUAUAAGGCCAUAAGCAAACAAGAAAAUGCUCAUCCAGAGGCAGUGCUCCUAGUGGCCGGGGACUUUAAUGCAGGGAAACUUAAAUACUUUUUACCUAAUUUCUACCAGCAUGUUUCAUGUGCAACCAGAGGGGAAAAAACUCUAGACCAUCUUUACUCCACACACAGAGAUGUGUACAAAGCUCUCCCUCGCCCUCCAUUUGGCAAAUAUGACCAUAAUUCCAUCCUCCUGAUUCCUGCAAAAACUAAAGCAGGAAGUACCAGUGACUUGCUCAAUACGGAAGUGAUCAGGUGAUGCAGAUGCGAAGCUACAGGACUGUUUUGCUAGCACAGACUGUAAUACGUUUCGGGAUUCUUCCGAUGGCAUUGAGGAGUACACCACAUCAGUCACUGGCUUCAUCAAUAAGUGCAUCGAUGACGUUGUCCCCACAGUGACCGUACGUACAUAACCCAAUCAGAAGCCAUGGAUUACAGGCAACAUCCGCACUGAGCUAAAGGGUAGAGCUGCCCUUUUCAAGGAGCCAGACUUUAACCCGGACGCUUAUAAGAAAUCCCGCUAUGUCCUCCGACGAACCAUCAAACAGGCAAGGCGUCAAUACAGGACUAAGAUUGAAUCAUACGACACCGGCUCUGACGCUCGUCGGAUGUAGCAGGGCUUGCAAACUAUUACGG
rnacentral:lncRNA from 1 species